GGGUUGCUGCUGGUGCCGCCAUUGUUAAACAGUAUGUGAAGAUCAAGAAAUGAAAAAGAAAAACUGUUGAUUUUACCAAGACUAGUCUUACCAAAAUCUCGCCUUUCUAUUUUUCAACGACAACCUUGUUAGUUUUGAUUCUGACCUUUUCUUCACUGACGGCUACAACCCCAAAAACCCCAAGCCAACAUUGUUAUAUAAACUCCAAUCUUGUUCAUUCUUAGUAAAACAGAGAAAAAA
rnacentral:misc_RNA from 1 species